CCUACGGGAGGCAGCAGUGAGGAAUAUUGGUCAAUGGCCGGAAGGCUGAACCAGCCAUGCCGCGUGAAGGUCAGUGCCCUAUGGGCGUUAAACUUCUUUUGUGCGGGAGCAAUAAUGGUCACGUGUGGCCAGACGAGAGUACCGUACGAAUAAGCAUCGGCUAACUCCGUGCCAGCAGCCGCGGUAAUACGGGGGAUGCAAGCGUUAUCCGGAUUUAUUGGGUUUAAAGGGUGCGUAGGCUGUGAGGUAAGUCGGCGGUGAAAUGCCCCCGCUCAACGGGGUGAAGCGCCAUUGAUACUGCCUGGCUGGAAUGCGGAUGCCGUGGGAGGAAGGUGUGGUGUAGCGGUGAAAUGCAUAGAGAUCACACAGAACACCGAUUGCGAAGGCAUCUCACGAAUCCGCGAUUGACGCUGAUGCACGAAAGCGUGGGUAUCAAACAGGAUUAGAUACCCUUGUAGUC
rnacentral:rRNA from 1 species